rnacentral:rRNA from 1 species
UACGUAGGGUGCGAGCGUUGUCCGGAAUUACUGGGCGUAAAGAGUUCGUAGGCGGUUUGUCGCGUCGUUCGUGAAAACUUGGGGCUUAACUCCAAGCGUGCGGGCGAUACGGGCAGACUUGAGUACUACAGGGGAGACUGGAAUUCCUGGUGUAGCGGUGAAAUGCGCAGAUAAUCAGGAGGAACACCGGUGGCGAAGGCGGGUCUCUGGGUAGUAACUGACGCUGAGGAACGAAAGCGUGGGUAGCGAACAGG